rnacentral:rRNA from 1 species
AACGAACGCUGGCGGCAUGCCUAACACAUGCGAGUCGAACGAGACCUUCGGGUCUAGUGGCGCACGGGUGCGUAACGCGUGGGAACCUGCCCUUAGGUUCGGAAUAACUCCCCGAAAGGGGUGCUAAUACCGGAUAAUGUCUUCGGACCAAAGAUUUAUCGCCUUUGGAUGGGCCCGCGUUGGAUUAGCUAGUUGGUAGGGUAAAAGCCUACCAAGGCGACGAUCCAUAGCUGGUCUGAGAGGAUGAUCAGCCACACUGGGACUGAGACACGGCCCAGACUCCUACGGGAGGCAGCAGUGGGGAAUAUUGGACAAUGGGCGAAAGCCUGAUCCAGCAAUGCCGCGUGAGUGAUGAAGGCCUUAGGGUUGUAAAGCUCUUUUACCCGGGAUGAUAAUGACAGUACCGGGAGAAUAAGCGCCGGCUAACUCCGUG